GUAAGUAGUAGUUUGAGUACCGUGUCGACGACGACGACGCUGGGCGGCGUGCUUUAACACAAUGCAAGUCGAACGGAGCGCCUAUGAAGGAGAUUUCGGUCAACGGAAUAGGUUUAGCUUAGUGGCGGACGGGUGAGUAACGCGUGAGGAACCUGCCUUUCAGAGGGGGACAACAGUUGGAAACGACUUGCUAAUACCGCAUAACACAUAGGUGUCGCAUGGCAUUUUAUGUCAAAGAUUUAUCGCUGAAAGAUGGCCUCGCGUCUGAUUAGCUAGUUGGUGAGGUAACGGCUCACCAAGGCGACGAUCAGUAGCCGGACUGAGAGGUUGGCCGGCCACGAUUGGGACUGAGAUACGGCCCAGACUCCUACGGGAGGCAGCAAGUGGGGAAUAUUGGGCAAUGGGCGCAAGCCUGACCCAGCAACGCCGCGUGAAGGAAGAAGGCUUUCGGGUUGUAAACUUCUUUUGGCAGGGAAGAGUAGAAGACGGUACCUGUCGAAUAAGCCACGGCUAACUACGUG
rnacentral:rRNA from 1 species